AUUUACGAUAUCAACUCGGCCCUCCCGGCGGACCCGAAGCCUAAACGUCCAUUUCUUUAAUAACUUUGUAACGGCUCGUCGGAUCGCCGAACCGUCUUCGCCAACGCGUUCGUUUACCUAGCAAUUAGGUUUACGGAGGAUCAAAUUAGAUCAAACCCUUAUAUUUUACAAAACCCCAUUCGGAGCCCUAAUAUGCAAUUAACCUCAAAAUAAUUCAAAAUUAAAUAGAUCAAUAUGCUAAC
rnacentral:lncRNA from 1 species